CAGAUGUAUUGGGCCCCUUUUCUUGCAGACUGACUCCUGACAUUGUCAAUAAGCAGAUCCAGUUAUGCUGAUGGCUGAGCUGAAACUGCUUCAUACCUUGCUUCAGUGAAAAAGUAUUGUGUUAGCUAAUACCUGCCUUCUGUACUCUUCAAAGCAGUGGUACCACGAGAUGAUAAAUCAAGUAUGAAGGCACAUAACGCUUGUUUUAAGGCAUCUCAUGAACCAGACUAUAAGCAAAAAACCAGCAUGCACAACACAUUCUCCUGCUAACGUUACAGAGUUGGGAUCACAUGUCCAUGUCUGAUCUGGAUUAAAUCUACACAAUUUAGCAAACUGUACUAAUGAACAUAUAUCAUUCAACGAGUUCAUGUGACUGAAAGACACUAUAGCACACUCACAGGGGCAGCUUAGACAGCAGAUCUAACUGGGCAGGGAGAUCUGGGGAGCAGACAGAGGUCCGAUGGAUAGAUAACAAGCUGUUUUCUCAUUUUUUUCCUCUGCCUGAAAUGCUCUAAAAUCCAUCUGCUUCUUUGUAUUUUGUGAAAUUUGAUGUGCUUGCUAAAGGCAAAGCUUUGAUUCAUGAGUUACAGUUCAUGGUUUUGCAUAACAGGGAAGAAUCCCACCAUGACCCAGCAGUCUCUCCUUUUCCCAUGUGUCCCCACUCACCACAGCAUGGACUCGGGCCUCUGUAUGCAAUAACAGUACAAAUAUAAAUUAGUCAUUCUUAGAGGAUACUACAGGAUCAGCUAGGCUGACUCUGUAGUCAGAAGGAGGCACAUGGAAUUCAUGUGAUUAAGAGGUAUGCAAAGUUUCAGAGCUUUUAAUUGUUGUUUUUGUCUGCUUGAGCUUGUGAAUCAUAACUCAUAGAGAUUCAGAUACAUGGUAGUUUCAAGCAGGGGCUUCCAACAUGACUUCCUGAAAAUACCAAAUCGAGGUUGGAAAGACCCUUCUUUAAUGGCAACAAAUUUUUACAAAUUUACUUUCCAUUUUUCUUUCUCAGCAUGCUCCACAGUAUUUCAAAAGUCCUAAACACACAUUCCACUUAGCUAUGAAUGUUUGCUGCCCCUUUACAGAUAGAGUAAGGCUCAUGAUUGAAAGUUAAGUACUGCAGAUAGACAAUUAGUAAAGUCAAAAUUUAAAGAAUGUGAGACAUACAUUAAGGUCAAUAACUAGGGCAUCACUCUGAAUUAUGAAUUUGACAUCUUUUUCUUUAGUCUUGACAUGAGCUGGUGCAGAAUAUGUGAAGGCAACCUACCUCAAUGUAGCAGAGUUCUGUACCUUUUUUUUGCCUUCUAGCCCUGGGUUUUGAACCUCUUGGGAUAGUCUUACAUUUCCUUCUCUCUUCUUUCAAUGAGCCAUGAUUUACUUUUUUUUUUUUAAACACUUGAAUAAACUGAAGAAAAACAAAUGAACGUUUGAAAAGAGUAAGUCAGUAAAGUUAUAGUGAAGGCCAUCCCUAUGCGUAAUGGAGAAGAUGGAAGCUGAAGAGUAGAAAAAAGUGCAAGAGCUAGCUAAGUAGUCCAGUUACGCAUCAAGGCAAAGAAGCUCUGGCUUAUGCAACAGUUAGGGUCCUUGUCAAGUGGGUGUAAUAUAUACAAAAAUCCAUAUAUACAAAAUGUCUGUCAAUACAAACAUAGAAAUUCAAGUACAUUCUCUGCCUUCUCUAUUUACUCAAUUACAUACAAUU
ensembl:lncRNA